UACGGAGGGUGCAAGCGUUGUCCGGAUUUAUUGGGUUUAAAGGGUGCGUAGGUGGUGAGGUAAGUCGGAUGUGAAAGCUCCGAGCUCAACUCGGAAAUGGCAUUGGAAACUACCUUGCUAGAGGGUUUGAGGGGGGACUGGAAUACUUGGUGUAGCAGUGAAAUGCGUAGAUAUCAAGUGGAACACCAGUGGCGAAGGCGAGUCCCUGGAAAACUCCUGACACUGAGGCCACGAAAGCUAGGGGAGCAAACAGG
rnacentral:rRNA from 1 species